UACGGAGGGGGCUAGCGUUGUUCGGAAUUACUGGGCGUAAAGCGCACGUAGGCGGAUCAGAAAGUUGGGGGUGAAAUCCCGGGGCUCAACCUCGGAACUGCCUUCAAAACUAUUGGUCUUGAGUUCGAGAGAGGUGAGUGGAAUUCCGAGUGUAGAGGUGAAAUUCGUAGAUAUUCGGAGGAACACCAGUGGCGAAGGCGGCUCACUGGCUCGAUACUGACGCUGAGGUGCGAAAGCGUGGGGAGCAAACAGG
rnacentral:rRNA from 1 species